CAUUAAUAGUACUGGCGGGUUGGGUCGGGUUAGGUCGGUUUCCUCGCAGAUUUCUUGGGGUUUGCAUAGGCAAUCCAUGUAAAGCCAGUAUCUUGUUAUGUUUUGAGGAAAGUAUAUAAUUCUAAGGUAUCUCGCACAUCAUAACACGCAUACCAAGACCGAUUGUGCAGGGUUAAUCAGAGACCUUCCUUCACUAGCUACGCAUCCCCCACUGAUCAUCUUCACGAUGAAUCAAAAGCACUGGACAAGGACUAGGAGUUCAAUCUCACCAUCUUCAAGUCCCAAAAGUAUUCCACGGAGGCAGGCUGACCGAUGGUUGUUUUCUGCGAGUUUCGGAGUGGCAGUUCCCAACCAUGUUCAUAUGACAAUGUUCAUAUUUCAUCAUCUGAGCUGAAGAUUUCGAGUUCAAUCAGCUUCCCAGUCCCCGGCUUGGUUGCGUUAGCGGAAUCUUCCCCCGUUUUGCUCCUCUUCACGCCCGUUCGUUCGUUUCCUUGGACUAAGAAUGGAUCCGCUUUGACAGCAGAUGGUCUCCUGACGAGUUAAACAAACAAUAUCAGUUCGACCAAAAGUUGAGCUUCGCGUGGCACGUAUUAGUAAAUUCAGAAAUCAAGACUUGAGAUUGGUUGAAGUAAACCUUUUGUCCUUGCUGGCCAAGGGUUUAGAUUUCAGAGAAGCUUCCUUGUUCGAACUUCUUGGCUCCAUUUUCGCUGGCACACGGGAGGGAAUUGGCUAAGAUUAUCGGCCUAUAAAGAGUCUACACCAAAGAGGCUAACUAUAUCUAACCUGUUACUUCAGACAGAAAUCUUAUUCCCUGUGAA